rnacentral:rRNA from 1 species
GACGAACGCUAGCGGCGUGCUUAACACAUGCAAGUCGAACGAACUCGACCUUCGGGUCAUAUGAGUGAGUGGCGAACGGGUGAGUAACACGUGAGAAAUCUACCCCAAAGUUCGGAAUAACUCAGGGAAACCUAAGCUAAUACCGGAUACCCUCAACAAAUCGAGUGGUUUGUUGAGGAAAGAUUCAUCGCUUUGGGAGGAUCUCGCGGCCUAUCAGCUUGUUGGUGAGGUAAUGGCUCACCAAGGCUUCGACGGGUAGCUAGUCUGAGAGGACGAAUAGCCACACUGGGACUGAGACACGGCCCAGACUCCUACGGGAGGCAGCAGUGGGGAAUCUUGCACAAUGGGCGAAAGCCUGAUGCAGCGACGCCGCGUGGGGGAUGAAGGCCUUAGGGUCGUAAACCCCUUUCAGUAGGGACGAAAAUGACGGUACCUACAGAAGAAGCUCCGGCCAACUACG